AAUCUUUUUUUUUUAAUUCCCUUGUUCUUCUUUUUUUCUCUAAAAUCUCCUCUAGCCUUCCGGCCACAAGGCCGCCGCAUAUCGCUAUGCCCAACAAUUAUUGGUGCCGGCGACCACCGCCUACGAUGGUAAAAAAAAAAGACCCUUUUUUAAAUCCUUUUGAAACUUCAAAACCCUAAAGUUAGAUCUAGGGAUAAAACACCCAAAAAAGGCCGAGAUCAGCAAAAAAAAGAAAAAGGAAAAAGAAACCAUUCGCUUUCCUCUCUCUCAGGUGAGGCCCUCAAUGGAACCCCAAUGGUUUUAAGGCUUCUCAAAUCGAAGGUGGUUUUCGACAACGGCUCUUAAUGGGUGGUGGUGCCAAAGGGGGUGUUAGACGACAAGCUUGUCAACAUGGUGAGGCUGCGGCGUGAGAGGGAGCUAGUGUGUCUGAAAAUAUUUUAGGUUUUGGGCUUUUGAGCUGCUGGGUUAUUGGGUUUAGUAGGUUUGGGUUAGGGUAGUUUAAGUUUGGGCUUGUAAGUUGAGCCAAUCUGUUUUUUUUUCGUAAAUGAACUUUGAUAUUAAUAUUAUUUUUUUA